rnacentral:rRNA from 1 species
AUGGCUGGUCGGCGAAGGCGAGAUCCAGCCCUUGCAGCUCCACCGACCACCGAGGUGGCGCGUGGGAAGCGGGGCACGACCACUUUGACGUACUUGAACGGCGUGUUUUCCCAGACGGCGAGGCGGAACUCCACCGGCGAGAGCUCCGCGGCGGCGUCCAGCAGCUUGGGGACGCGCUCUCUCAACUCCGAUUCGGAGAGGGACGCCUCCGGAACGGAGAUGUCGAGGAGCGUCACGCUCGCGCCGGGGCCGCCCUCGGCUUUGAUCGAAGCGAGCGCCGCUUGGACGGAGCCGAGCGCGACGCCGCGGAAGACGUGGGUGGGGAGGCGGGUCCAGAGGCCGCGCCACGAGCGGGAGAGGCCGCCGGUGCGCGCGGCGGCGCGGGAGCAGCGGAGGCGGACGAGGAUCUCGACAAGCAUAUCAUCCGGGAGGGCGGUGAUGAGGUCGGGUGCUCCCACAUCCAUCUCCUUGGAAAAUCAAUCCCCACAUCGUACACUUACGCUUUGUGAGCUUUAA